rnacentral:rRNA from 1 species
AUUGAACGCUGGCGGCAGGCCUAACACAUGCAAGUCGAGCGGACGAAGGGAGCUUGCUCCUGGAUUCAGCGGCGGACGGGCGAGUAAUGCCUAGGAAUCUGCCUGGUCGUGGGGGAUAACGUCCGGUCACGGGCGCUAAUACCGCAUACGUCCAGAGGGAGAAAGGGGGGGAUCUUUGGACCUAACGCUAUUAGAUGAGCCUAGGUCGGAUUAGCUAGUUGGUGGGGUAAAGGCCUACCAAGGCGACGAUCCGUAACUGGUCUGAGAGGAUGAUCAGUCACACUGGAACUGAGACACGGUCCAGACUCCUACGGGAGGCAGCAGUAGGGAAUAUUGGACAAUGGGCGAAAGCCUGAUCCAGCCAUGCCGCGUGUGUGAAGAAGGUCUUCGGAUUGUAAAGCACUGUUAGUUGGGAGGAAGGACAGUAAGUUAAUACCUUCCUGUUUUGACGUUACCAACAGAGUAAGCACCGGCUAACUUCGUG